rnacentral:rRNA from 1 species
AUACGUAGGGGGCAAGCGUUGUCCGGAAUUACUGGGCGUAAAGAGCUCGUAGGCGGCUCAGCAAGUCGGUCGUGAAAGCCCGAGGCUUAACCUCGGAACUGCGGUCGAUACUGCUGUGGCUAGAGUCCGGUAGAGGAGAGUGGAAUUCCCGGUGUAGCGGUGGAAUGCGCAGAUAUCGGGAGGAACACCAGUGGCGAAGGCGGCUCUCUGGGCCGGUACUGACGCUGAGGAGCGAAAGCGUGGGGAGCAAACAGAAUUAGAAACCCUAGUAGUCC